ACAUGAAAAGCCAAACCUGCUGUGAGGCAGGGACGGAAAGCCACGGGUUUCAAUGAAGCAGCCGGGUUACCAAAU
rnacentral:ncRNA from 1 species